rnacentral:rRNA from 1 species
GACGAACGCUGGCGGCGUGCUUAACACAUGCAAGUCGAACGAAGCUUGAUGAUUGAUUCCUUCGGGAUGAUAUUUGAUAUGACUGAGUGGCGGACGGGUGAGUAACGCGUGAGGAACCUGCCUUUCAGAGGGGGACAACGUUUGGAAACGAACGCUAAUACCGCAUAACAUUGCCGAGUGGCAUCGCUUGGCAAUCAAAGAUUUAUCGCUGAAAGAUGGCCUCGCGUCCAAUUAGCUUGUUGGUGAGGUAACGGCCCACCAAGGCGACGAUUGGUAGCCGGACUGAGAGGUUGAACGGCCACAUUGGGACUGAGACACGGCCCAGACUCCUACGGGAGGCAGCAGUGGGGAAUAUUGCACAAUGGGCGCAAGCCUGAUGCAGCAACGCCGCGUGGAGGAAGACGGUUUUCGGAUUGUAAACUCCUGUUCUUAGUGACGAAGAAGUGACGGUAGCUAAGGAGCAAGCCACGGCUAACUACGUGCCAGCAGCCGCGGUAAUACGUAGGUGGCGAGCGUUGUCCGGAUUUACUGGGUGUAAAGGGAGCGCAGGCGGGAAGACAAGUCAGCUGUGAAAUCUAUGGGCUCAACCCAUAAACUGCAGUUGAAACUGUUUUUCUUGAGUGGAGUAGAGGCAAGCGGAAUUCCGAGUGUAGCGGUGAAAUGCGUAGAUAUUCGGAGGAACACCAGUGGCGAAAGGCGGCUUGCUGGGCUCUAACUGACGCUGAGCUCGAAAGUGUGGGGAGCAAACAUGAUUAGAUACCCUGGUAGUCCACACUGUAAACGAUGAUUACUAAGUGGUGGGGGGGUUCUUGA